CAGCUUUACUUGGGAGACAGUUAAAUUGCCUGCAGAUCAGCUUUUAAGACUUGAAUUUAAGCUCUGUUGAGAGAAAGGGAAAGGGAGAGAGAUUUAGAAGCAGC